ACUACGAAUUCGACCGUGUGUACGGUAUAAUAUAUUAUUAUUAUUAUUAUAAUCGUGUUUUCGGAGGAAUUGUUGAAUAUUACGCGGCCGUACGGUAGGUAUAACGUCGUUUUUGCAACACUUUUCGCGUCUUUACGGUCAUAGUGCGGAACGCGAAAUGUAAAUAUCGGGAAUACCUCUGUCCUCUACCUGUUUUUCGCAAACCGCAUCACAGAAAUAAUGUAUAAUACCAAAACGGGCAAAACGUGUAAUCGAUACGUUUGAAUUUCGGCCGAACACUGCAAUAAUAAUAAUUAUUGCACGUGUCAUCAUCUGCUGUGGCGCUGCUACCCGUUAACAACGGCCGACAUCUUACCUAUAAAUCGGAGAGAGUAUAAAACGUGUGCACUCAAUCGAUAGGCGUAUUAUAAGAGAGAAUAAAAUAUAUUGGGUUAUUGUCAUACUUCUGGACUUCAAGGACUACAAAUUACAGUAGUUCAAAACGAUACUAAUAAUCUAUCAAAUAGUACAACUGUACAGUUUUGUUUUUGGCCACUUGGUCGAGUAACCAAUAAAGAUGCAUGUUAUGAUGUAUUUCACGCAGUCAAGUAUAUUAUAUACUAAACUGUAUUUGAAAAUUUUAUCGCCCAGAAAAGCAAAAGUACAGCGAAAGAGUUUAGGAUCAAAAAGUUAAAAAGUUCUCCAACUACCGCCAUAGAAGUUAAAACACUGGGGUGCAAAAGAUUCAAAACAUUUCUUGAGUAUAGGUUCAUAAACGUACAUACUACAAAACCUAUAUAAUAUGUUAGUUUUCCAUCUGUCAACUAUAAAAAAAAUAUAAGUAAGUACUACACAUUUAAUUAUUUUAUGCUAGGUUUUUUUCCUUAGGAAAUAAAACAUAAUCAUUCUUACCAAAAUUAUUAACCACGUAUCUCAACUCUA